UUGUUUGUGUCCUGAACCCACCAUAUUCCAAGUCAAUAAGGCAUCCAUCACGACUGCUGAGAGAAUAUGUGACUGGAAGAACUAUUGCCAAAAUCUACAGCUGUAGAAAAUGCAGAAUACCAGAAAGUUCAAUAUCAAACAUAGUUUAAACCAGA
rnacentral:lncRNA from 1 species